rnacentral:rRNA from 1 species
CCUACGGGGGGCAGCAGUGAGGAAUAUUGGUCAAUGGACGAGAGUCUGAACCAGCCAAGUAGCGUGAAGGAUGACCGCUCUAUGGGUUGUAAACUUCUUUUAUAAAGGAAUAAAACGAGGCACGUGUGCCUCUUUGCAUGUACCCUAUGAAUAAGGAUCGGCUAACUCCGUGCCAGCAGCCGCGGUAAUACGGAGGAUGCGAGCGUUAUCCGGAUUCAUUGGGUUUAAAGGGAGCGUAGAUGGGUUUGUAAGUCAGGUGUGAAAGUUUGCGGCUCAACCGUAAAAUUGCAAUUGAUACUGGCAGACUUGAGUACAGUUGAGGUAGGUGGAAUUCGUGGUGUAGCGGUGAAAUGCUUAGAUAUCACGAAGAACCCCGAUUGCGAAGGCAGCUUACUAAACUGUAACUGACAUUGAUGCACGAAAGUGUGGGUAUCAAACAGGAUUAGAUACCCGAGUAGUC